GAUGGACGCUGGCGGCGUGCCUAAUACAUGCAAGUCGAGCGAACGGACGAGAAGCUUGCUUCUCUGAUGUUAGCGGCGGGCGGGUGAGUAACACGUGGAUAACCUACCUAUAAGACUGGGAUAACUUCGGGAAACCGGAGCUAAUACCGGAUAAUAUUUUGAACCGCAUGGUUCAAAAGUGAAAGACGGUCUUGCUGUCACUUAUAGAUGGAUCCGCGCUGCAUUAGCUAGUUGGUAAGGUAACGGCUUACCAAGGCAACGAUGCAUAGCCGACCUGAGAGGGUGAUCGGCCGCACUGGAACUGAGACACGGUCCAGACUCCUACGGGAGGCAGCAGUAGGGAAUCUUCCGCAAUGGGCGAAAGCCUGACGGAGCAACGCCGCGUGAGUGAUGAAGGUCUUCGGAUCGUAAAACUCUGUUAUUAGGGAAGAACAUAUGUGUAAGUAACUGUGCACAUCUUGACGGUACCUAAUCAGAAAGCCACGGCUAACUACGUG
rnacentral:rRNA from 1 species